UCGCGUGUGCGGCGCGGUAGGUCGCGCGCGCGUCGCUGAAAGCUACGCCGAACUUGUUCGACUUCAGGCCCGUGGA
rnacentral:tRNA from 1 species